rnacentral:rRNA from 1 species
AUUGAACGCUGGCGGCAUGCUUUACACAUGCAAGUCGAACGGCAGCGCGGGCUUCGGCCUGGCGGCGAGUGGCGAACGGGUGAGUAAUACAUCGGAACGUGCCCAGUAGUGGGGGAUAGCUCGGCGAAAGCCGGAUUAAUACCGCAUACGACCUGAGGGUGAAAGCGGGGGAUCUUCGGACCUCGCGCUAUUGGAGCGGCCGAUGGCAGAUUAGCUAGUUGGUGGGGUAAAGGCCUACCAAGGCGACGAUCUGUAGCUGGUCUGAGAGGACGACCAGCCACACUGGGACUGAGACACGGCCCAGACUCCUACGGGAGGCAGCAGUGGGAAAUUUUGGACAAUGGGCGAAAGCCUGAUCCAGCAAUGCCGCGUGUGUGAUGAAGGCCUUCGGGUUGUAAAGCACUUUUGGCGGGAACGAAAAGGACUGUGCCAAUACCACGGUUCGAUGACGGUACCCGCAGAAUAAGCACCGGCUAACUACGUG